UUGCUGGUUCGAAUCCCCGAGCCAACUAGGUGAAAAAUAUGUCGAUGUGUCCUUGAGCAAAUCACUUAAGCCUAAUUGUUCCUGUACGUCGCUCUGGAUAAGAGCGUCUGCUAAAUUACUUAAAUGUAAAUUAUGUGUUUUGAGUGUCUGUCUUGUAUGUGAAUGCCUCUCUCCCUGCUGACCUGUAUGUGUCCUUUGGAAACAGGUCCAGGCAGCAGCAGCGCCUCCAUGAGAGGCAGGAGGUCAGGUACAGAUGGUGAACCAGAUGACCGUCCUCCAGAGGAGAGGGGUGAGUGAUGUUUAAUGCCAUGCUGCCACUCCCAGGCACAACAUACUGAUCCCCAACCAACACCGCUAUGGAUAAAAACACCUGACACCUUGCUUACUGUCCUUUGUUUUUUUGGGGGGGAUGCUUUUAAAACCACCCAUGGUCACCCCAGAUACUCACCCAGGUGAGUGAAGACAGGUGCCCUGUUGGCAAUGUGAAUCUGAGUGGCAUUCACUGGCAAGGUCAGGAAUGUGAGGUACUCUGAGAAUCAAAUAACCUGGGAAGGAGAGUUUAUUAACUGGAACUGGAUGGAGAUAGAUAUGGUCAUUCUCCAGACUGAGAAGAGGUGUGUUGUGUGUCAUUACCUCUGGCCUGACCACCACAGUAAGACUGAGAGGUGAGACUGCAGGAGGAGCCAUCUCCUCCACACAUCUCCUCCACCUUCCCAGACUGCAACACUCAUCACAGCCAAACAGCUGGUAGAAGACCGGUAGAAAUGAUGGCCCAUUAGCUUAUGAGGACAUGUCAGGUCUAAUACUAUUUCAAAUUGUCUCUUAGAACUUUCUAAAGUGGAGAAACCCAAGCAGGCCUUUACCUGGCACAUCCCUUCUUUGACAAGCUGUGGUGGCACCCAAGGGCGCUGGACUGUCUGUUUCACAUCGAGUGCCGUCCACAAACUGAGACCCAAAGGCUUACAAUUAAGUUCUCUCCCUCUCUCCACAUAUACCUGCACUGUUCAUCCCCUGGUCAUGAGGAACAAUCAGAGGGAUACAGUGGGUGGAGGGAGAAUGUCAAACUAUAGUAGUUUUAUUGUCCCUCCACCCCACCAUUCCGAUUGACGAGGUGUCUUGGCCCAACCAUGACAUCCUACAGUGUUGGGAGACAGGCACAGGGGCUGGAGCACUGCUCUGCCAUGAAGGCCAGCUGGGUCCUAUUCAGACAGCAUAGUGUGAGGGAGGAAUGUGGAACAAUGCUUGUUAAGUUUAUACCCUUCAUUUCAGAUGACAUCUGUUUGACAAUCAAUUGGACUGAGUCUGAUGGGACCCAGCCAAGUGGAGAAGUGGCACACACGUUUACAAAAAAAAACGCUAUUCAGACAGCAUAGUGUGAGGGAGGAAUGUGGAACAUUGCUUGUUAAGUUUAUACCCUUCAUUUCAGAUGACAUCUGUUGACAAUCAAUUGGACUGAGUCUGAUGGAACCCAGCCAAGUGGAGAAGUGGCACACACGUUUACAAAAAAAUCAGGGACGGUAGUUAAGUGACAGACCUCAUUUAUUGAUUUUCAUGUGGGCCGAGGUAAAAAGAGCAAUCCCUGCUGGUUGGUGAACACUGAUGUUUAUUCUAUUGGUCACUGAAGGAUGUAAUUUACAGUGCAGAACAGUACAUUUGUCCACAAACCCACUCCAUGCUUGUUUCAUGUACAGUAUUCUGUUGUGACGUGGUAGUAGUGUAGGACGGAAGAUUCCAUUAAAUCCCAUGAGAGUUGGCACAUGGAAAUGCCAUUAUACACUUAGUACCAAACAUUAGGAACACCUUCCUAAUAUUGAGUUGCACCCCUCAAUUUGUCGGGAGAUGGACUCUACAAGGUGUUGAAAGCGUUCCACUGGGAUGCUGGCCCAUGUUGACUCUAAUGCUUCCCACAGUUGUGUCACGUUGGCUGGAUGCCUUUUUGUCCACCACCGACUAUUGAUACACAUGGGAAACUGUUGAGCGUGAAAAACCCAGCAGCGUUGCAGUUCUUGAUACAAGCCGGUGCGCCUGGCACCUACUACCAUAACCCGUUCAAAGGCACUUCAAUAUUUUGUCUUGCCCAUUUACCCUUUGAAUGGCACACAUACAAAAUCCAUGUCUCAAUUGUCUCAAGACUUAAAAAUCCUUAUUUAACCUGUCUCCUCCCCUUCAUUUACAUUGAUUGAAGUGGAUUUAACAAGUGACAUCAAUGAGGGAUCAGAGCUUUCACCUGGAUUCACCUGGUUAGUCUAUGUCAUGGAAAGAACAGGUGUUCUUAAUGUUUUAUAUACUCAGUGUAUGCAAUAUUUGUAAUGAAGCUCUUGAAUAAGACUUGUUGACAGACCAAUGCCUUUCAAAGGGAGCAUAAUAGGUGUGUAAAUCAACAAAAAUAACAGGAUGUUAAUUUGGCCUGAUCAUUUUCACAGAAACUCAAAACUGACCUUAUAAGUUCACACAAGCAGUAUCAUAAAUUCUGUGGUUUAGAGUGCAUUCUUUAUAAGUUUAAUAUAGUACCUCUAGAGGGCAGACAAGGCCUAUUGUCACAUUGCAGGUGUACUGCAGGACUGAAUGCUCCUUAGGUGUGAUUUCUACAGCAGUGGAGGCUACUAAGGGCUGGGAUGGAGUGAAUGGAAUGGUAUCAAACACAUGAAUGAUCAAAGUCAUGAAUGUGUUUGAUACCAUUCCAUUUACUCCAUUCUGUCCAUUGUUAUGAGCCGUCCUCCUCUCAGCAGCCUCCACUGGUCUAUAGGGUUCAGUUGGGAUUCUGUUGGUGGUGGAUCGAUUACUUUUCCAUGAUUGUUUCCAAUAGAAAUAUAUUCAGUUCAACUCUGGCCUUUUGGUUUACUUCUGGAAGCGUCACUGCUUUAGGAGGCAGUUCGCUGUGAAGCAUACUGAGCUUCUCAAUCUCUUCUAUCAAUUUGGACAGUUUUUUACAAACUCUUUUGUGUGCUUUUGAUGUGUUAUUAACAAGUAGCCCUUGGACCAUAUAAUUUAGCUGUGUGUAUAAUUGGUGGAAAAUGAAAUUCUUGCACCUCAGUAAUGUACUUGAGAAACAAUCAUUUGAUGCACUUCAAUUAGAAAUAGAACUAGUUUCCAUUAAUCUAGGUCAUGCUAUUAAAUUCCCUUUCCAAUAUUCCUUUGAUGUUAUUGGACUGUCACUUAAUUUAAUGAAAUCAUGAAAAAUAUAUGCGAAGGCCUCUGAAUAAGACAGUUAUUUUUUUGCUUUUUAUUUAAUAGAUUUUAUUUCUACUUAUAUAUUCCAUAAUUGUCUGUACUUUCUCUAUGAGAAUAUUGCAGUCUAGGCGUACAAUCCAAUCUUAGAUUACCAAUGAUGUUGAUUGGUGAAUAUAUAUACAAUAAUCUCUGUUAGUUGGUGUUGAUUGGUGCCCUCCCUUCUAGAAGUGACAAACCUUUAAAACUCGUUGAUGGUUUUGGCAGUUUAGAAAGUACUUGAGCCAAAUCUAAUAUGAUAUUUCUGCUGCUGUCCUCCUAUUGGAUGAAGGGAGAUCAGACUGGGCAGCCAGCAACUCCAGUUGGCCCUGAGGAGGAGGACAAACUGGUUGCCAGGCUGGUGAACUUUCAAGUGCUCAAGCCAGCCUACUCUGCAGCAUGAUUACGGAGGGAAAAUAAUUGCCCCUGUUGAGAUCAUAGUUCCCAGACAAUGUUCUAAUUAUCUAGAAAUGUUAACUGACAGGAAAAGAGAAAUGAGUCUGUGUAAUUCACUUACUGUUAAUAAAGACAUGAUUAUUUUUCUA